UGUAGUAACUCCUGCAAAUGAAGGUGCAAUCCCUGUCAUGAAUUUUGAAGACCUUUUAGAGAAAGAUUGGUCAUUUCUUGAUACAGACCAUACACGUGCUGCUGAAGUAGAUAAGAAGAUUGAGAGGAUCAUGUCUGCUGGAGAAAUUGGGCAGAGUUCAAUGGUUUUAGUUUCUAUAGGUUCAGAACAAUUUGUGGAUAAAUUGGUUGAAUCAUCACCCUGUCAGCAAUUACUUAUUGUCCAUGAUUCACUUUUAACAUUAGCCUGCAUAAAGGAGAAGUAUGACAAGGUUAGUUGUUGGCAGGGAGAACUAAUCCAUCUACCAGAAAAGUGGGCAUCUUUUGAUGUUGUGUUCCUCUACUUUUUGCCCUCGCUGACAUUUUUACUUGAUCAAGUGUUACAAUCACUUGCUAGUCGUUGUUUGCCAGGUAAUCUUGACCUUGAUACGCAUCGUUUCUCUAUAAAGUUAAAGUUUGUAUAAUCUUUCAGCUAUUGGUGGGAUGUAUGCGGGUCAAGUUUAUGCCUGUUGUAAAACUGUUUAGUGGAUAAAAUGAAGAGGAGGGAUGGAUUGGGCUGCUUUUUAUCUUUCUUGAGAGUAAAUCCUGAAGUUUGCCGGUUCAUUAUAUGUUUUUGAGGAAAAAAUAAAUAACAUUUCAUACCACAAGAAUGGGUAAACAGACAUCUUUACCAAAUAAAAGUUUCAAGAACGCUAAGUGCAGUGGUGUGCUAUAGUUACGUACUUCUAUUAUAGUAACCUAUUGGCAUUAAAAUUCAUAGGUUCUCCCUGGGCAACAAAAUAUUUCCGUUGCAUGGACUCCCUAAUAUUCUUGAUUACGCAUAGCUGAACAUUCACAUCUAGGAAAUAUGUUAAUUUUGUACCUGUGAUUUCUGUAUACUGAUUUGGAGAACUUGGGAGUCUUUAUGCUGUGCUCUUUAUUUUAUGUGUAUUUCACCUAAAUCCAUCCAAGUCCAUGUAAGAUUGCUGUUCAUUUGCUUCAUUACAGUUUUAUCUGUUACUGAAAG
rnacentral:lncRNA from 1 species